UGGUGCCUCUGCCAAGGGCUCCGUGGCACGUUGUGCUGRGGUUAGCAGUGCCGUUUUCUGUGGCUGUUCCUUGAGCACGAGCAGCCUGGAUUUUGUCAGCGCGGCAGGCUAACAAGCCCCUGGUUUCAGCAUCGCUUUCAAAGCUGUUGUGUGUUUUUCCCACAGAGGAGGUUGGCGCAGGCAUYUCCCCAAAACGAGGUGACAUCCACUGCUGCAAGGGCUCCGUCUUCUCCCUGGGUCGUGACGUUUUGGAAGAAUUUGGAAGAAGGAAUUUCUUCACAGGCCCUGCCGCACAGAGCGAAGGUCUGUUGCCCCACCAGCUGAUGGAGUAAUGAAGCUUCCCCUGAAUGGCGAUGGAAAGGCUUCAGGAGAAAGAAAUGAAAGAUUAGAUGAAUCUUCACGGAUCAUGAGCUCCAAACGCAGGAAACAUCAGAAAUGCAAAGGGUCAGUGAAGGAAUAGGAGGAUAAGGAGAAAAGCAGACUGUCUCAAGGAAAGAUGUGCUUCUUGCAUGAAUAACUUCCUAACAAUCUGCUGAAGGAGUGAUUUUGUAUCAGCCUGAAACCCCAAACCAGCAUCAUUUUAAUUUGCCAAGCACCUGUGAAAGAAUGCAGCUGCAAGACCAUGGGAAAACAAUGGGAACUCUGACAGUUCAUUAAUAUAAACCAGCAACUAGAUUUAUUUGGAAAAGUCAUUGAUACAGAAUUACACUGGAGGACACAGUGGCAUUCCUGAAGUACGCCAGCAAGCAGCUAACUAAGAUUAUAGAUGUGUGUACAUCAUUUGAACUUCAAUGGUUAUUUGGCGCAACAUCUUGAUUUUGGUCCACGAGGUGCUCGGAGGGCGCAGCCACGGCAGAUGCCAUCGCCGACCUGCGGCCGCGGGGACACGAGAUGGUGAGUUGUUGCAGGUGGGCGCUCGGAGAGCUGGUGCCCCAUGGAAAGACCCGUCCUUCUCCAUGCGAGGAGGCCCCGGUCUCCAGGACCUGCCGCGCUGCGGGCAGCAAGAGGAGAAGGAGCAGCGCUGGCGGUGGAG
rnacentral:lncRNA from 1 species